GAUGAUGCGGCUGCUAUAAUGCAGUCGAGCGCGGGAGCGAGCGGAUCCCCUUCGGGGGUGAAGCUCGUGGAACGAGCGGCGGACGGGUGAGUAACACGUGGGCAACCUACCUGUAAGAUCGGAAUAACCCCGGGAAACCGGGGCUAAUGCCGGGUAAUACUUUUCUUCGCAUGAAGGAAAGUUGAAAGAUGGCCUCUGGCUAUCACUUACAGAUGGGCCCGCGGCGCAUUAGCUAGUUGGUGAGGUAACGGCUCACCAAGGCGACGAUGCGUAGCCGACCUGAGAGGGUGAUCGGCCACACUGGGACUGAGACACGGCCCAGACUCCUACGGGAGGCAGCAGUAGGGAAUCUUCCGCAAUGGACGAAAGUCUGACGGAGCAACGCCGCGUGAACGAUGAAGGUCUUCGGAUCGUAAAGUUCUGUUGUUAGGGAAGAACAAGUGCCGUGCGAAUAGAGCGGCACCUUGACGGUACCUAACGAGGAAGCCCCGGCUAACUACGUGCCAGCAGCCGCGGUAAUACGUAGGGGGCAAGCGUUGUCCGGAAUUAUUGGGCGUAAAGCGCGCGCAGGCGGUUCCUUAAGUCUGAUGUGAAAGCCCACGGCUCAACCGUGGAGGGUCAUUGGAAACUGGGGAACUUGAGGACAGAAGAGGAGAGUGGAAUUCCACGUGUAGCGGUGAAAUGCGUAGAUAUGUGGAGGAACACCAGUGGCGAAGGCGACUCUCUGGUCUGUUUCUGACGCUGAGGUGCGAAAGCGUGGGUAGCAAACAGGAUUAGAUACCCUGGUAGUCCACGCCGUAAACGAUGAGUGCUAGGUGUUAGGGGGCUUCCACCCCUUAGUGCUGAAGUUAACGCAUUAAGCACUCCGCCUGGGGAGUACGGCCGCAAGGCUGAAACUCAAGGAAUUGACGGGGGCCCGCACAAGCGGUGGAGC
rnacentral:rRNA from 1 species